ACGCCGGGUCUGACGNACGGCGUACGCGUCUUAACACGUGACUAUCUGCCGAGAGCUCGAGAUAGCCGCAGAAGCUCGGAUCAAUCGCGUAUGGCUCAUCAGCCCUCAUGGCGCUGUGAGUACAGACUCCGGCUCUUCGGGAUGAGGUCUCGUCGCGUCAGCUCGUUGGUGAGGUACGGCUCGCCAUAGCUGCUACGAGUAGCUGGUCUGAGAGGUCGAUCAGCCACACUGGACAUGAGUCUCGGUCCAGCAUCAUAUGGGAGUCAGCAGCAGUGAAUCUUGCGCAAUGGCAGAAAGCCUGCGUCAGCGACGCCGCGUGUGGGAUGAAUACCUUCGGGUAGUAACACCUUUCGCGAGGGAAGAAGAUGACGGUUCCUCGAGAAGAAGCGCCGGCCAACUUCGUGCCAGCAGACGCGGUUAUAUGUAGGGGGCGAGCGUUGUCCUCGAUUUAUUGGGCGUAAAGGGCUCGUAGGCGGCUUGACAAGUCGCCUGUGAAGAGCUAGGGCUCUAACCCUGGGAAGCUGGUCGAUACUGUCAUGGCUAGGGUCCGGUAGAGGGGAAUGGAAUUCCCGGUGUAGCGGUGAAAUGCGCAGAUAUCGGGAGGAACGACCAGUUGCGAAGGCGGUUCUCUGGCCGGUCUCCGACGCUGAGGAGCGAAAGCGUGGGGAGCAAACAGGAUUAGAUACCCUGGUAG
rnacentral:rRNA from 1 species